rnacentral:rRNA from 1 species
GAUGAACGCUGACAGAAUGCUUAACACAUGCAAGUCUACUUGAAUUUGGGUUUUUAACUUAGGUUUGGGUGGCGGACGGGUGAGUAACGCGUAAAGAACUUGCCUCACAGCUAGGAACAACAUUUAGAAAUGAAUGCUAAUACCUAAUAUUAUGAUAAUAGGGCAUCCUAUAAUUAUGAAAGCUAUAUGCGCUGUGAGAGAGCUUUGCGUCCCAUUAGCUAGUUGGAGAGGUAACGGCUCACCAAGGCGAUGAUGGGUAGCCGGCCUGAGAGGGUGAUCGGCCACAAGGGGACUGAGACACGGCCCUUACUCCUACGGGAGGCAGCAGUGGGGAAUAUUGGACAAUGGACCGAGAGUCUGAUCCAGCAAUUCUGUGUGCACGAUGAAGUUUUUCGGAAUGUAAAGUGCUUUCAGUUGGGAAGAAAGAAAUGACGGUACCAACAGAAGAAGUGACGGCUAAAUACGUGCCAGCAGCCGCGGUAAUACGUAUGUCACGAGCGUUAUCCGGAUUUAUUGGGCGUAAAGCGCGUCUAGGUGGUUAUAUAAGUCUGAUGUGAAAAUGCAGGGCUCAACUCUGUAUUGCGUUGGAAACUGUAUAACUAGAGUACUGGAGAGGUAAGCGGAACUACAAGUGUAGAGGUGAAAUUCGUAGAUAUUUGUAGGAAUGCCGAUGGGGAAGCCAGCUUACUGGACAGAUACUGACGCUGAAGCGCGAAAGCGUGGGUAGCAAACAGG